CGCUGGAAAGUCGCCCAUUCGGGCGCGCCGACGGAGCAAGGCGACAUGAUUUGGUCGCCGGAAUCUCUCAGGCUUCAGGACAGCG
rnacentral:ncRNA from 2 species